UUGGCUGUGGUGGAGAUUGAUGGCGAAAAUUGUAGAAAAUCACAGUAUUUAUUUCAUGUGUUGCGUUAUGUAUGUAGGCAGCGCACAGGUGCUUCGCUGUUAACACAGUUGUCCAAAUUUAUGUUUUUUUAUUCCAGGUGGGAUACUUUAUCUAGCGUUAGCCUAAUGCUAAUGUAGGACGUUAGCAAACCUCUGCUAGCAAGAAAGUUUUCAAGGGCCACAGAACGCACGGACAAGAAUAUGGGACUCCUGCAGCUUAAAUAGCCUUGGGCGUGUUGCCAGGAGGACCGACAGUGUUCAGUGCCCCUGUUACUCCUACAUAUGGACGUCAAUGGUGAGUUGAUGAGGUUCUGAUCCUCCAAAUGGCCAGAAACCUGACUCAAUCCAGCCUGCCUUGAAGCCAAGAUCUGGACACAACUGGGAAGACUUAUUGCUGUCAACCCGCAUGAAAGCCUUGUGCAGCUUAAGACAUUCUUCCAUGUGUGGGCCCCUAUAAAUUGGGCUGUUGCACCAUAGCCCCUUUUUAAAGGGCAGUGUACCUAGUGAAGAACUAGGAGACCUCAACCAGUGCCUGCCAUCUUUAAUAUUAAAAAGAACAAGAAAGUUUUACAGUUGCAAGAGCUUUAUUGGAAAAAAAAAAAAAAAAAAAAACAGGGCCUGGAGAAUCACUUUAAAUGCUGCUGAGGUUUUGGCCAAGAUGGGAAAUGCCUCCUGGUGGAGUCAUCAAGGUAGAGUACCUCACCUCUUCUCCAUACUGCAUGGAGAAGAGGUGAGGUACUCAACUUCAGUUGGAUGGAGAGCCUGCAAAAGAAAAAUGUUUUGUAAAGCUUCAAUUUCAAUAAAUGGUCCAUUUAUAAACAAACUUGCCCGUCUGUGCAAGUCUUCAAAAAUGGUGCUGCCGAUGGUCUGGCCACCGUGACAUCUGGUUAAAGAUCACCUAAGGGGGAACCGAAAAAGCUAGAGUUUAAAGCAUGACACUCUACAAUUUUAAUCCAUUACGUUUUGGUUUUGAUAGGUUUGGUUCAUUUUGAAGCAGAGGCUUUUAGCAGGCACAUUUGUACCUGGGCAGUAAACACUUAUAUGCAGAAGUUCCAAGUUAAUAUUUGGACAAAAUCAGGGGGAGGAAAAAAAAAAAACUGAAAUAAGAUGUCAUCUCGCCACAUGUUGAAAUGUGGUCUCUGAAUUACUCGUGGCAAGGAAAGGCCAGACUGCUGGGUUCAUCGCCAUCAAGCCUAUAAAGAACAUUCACUCAUGUUUACCCUCAAUUUAU